GAUGUCAGGAGGAGGGGGCGUGACUUCCUCUGCUCUUCUCCCAGACUCCCCAGUGAUCCUGUGAGAAGAGCAGUGGAAGUCACACCCCCUCCUCCUGACAUC